CAGAACACUAUGAAAGAAAGUGUGUGUUUUUACUGUUUGCUGUGAACAUUCUUAUCUCAGCCAUCAUCCUUGUCAUUGUGGGUCUAAAUUACUCUCACAACAGAGAAACACAACCAAUAAAAGGACAAAAAGAAAUGUGGCUUCUCCGUGACGAUGUGUUUUAUUUGUUCUGGAGUGACCAAAUUGAUUGCUGCGCUGCUGAGCGCUUCUGCUCUGAGAGAAACGCCAGUCUGGCCGUUUUAACUGAGCGUAACAAGGUCUGGUUGAUGUCUAGGACCAAUGGAAAGCAAUUUUUGGUCUCAAGAGCCUCAUCAGAUGGAUCUGGAAACACUGCUUCUCCCUCAGUGGAAAAUGAAAAUUGUGAGUGUGGCAUCAUGACCGAAGAUGUUGACACCUACCAUGGAGAAGGAUUUGUGUGUGAAAGGAGUGUGAAUCCCAGUCAGAAAUUGUGCAGAUUUUACCUCUUUUGAAGCUGUAAUGGAUAUACUGGACAGCUCCUUGGCCCAAAGUUCAGCUUCCAGACAGCAUGCAUGUGUUGUACUUCAUUUAUCCUGUUUUAUUUUGUUUUACUAAAACUCUACUCUGUAAAUACUAGACAGAAUAGCUGUAUUGUCUUCAGAAGUUCCAGAUAAGAGGUUGUCUUCCUUCAAGGCUUUCAAUAUAAUUUUUAAAAAGCAUUAAUUUUCUCUUAUAUAAUUCUCUUUUUCUUGUUUUGAAAACACUUUUUUUCUAUGUGGAUGGAAUCAGUGAGAUCUUUGGCUAUGUCUAAGGUUAUUCAAUAAAUAAAUGUAAAUAAAUUUA